rnacentral:rRNA from 1 species
GUCUAUGGUCAUGCCACCCUGAACAAGCCUGAUCCCAACUGAUCUCGGAAGCUAAGCAGGGUCGGGCCUGGCUAGUACUUGGAUGGGAGACCACCUAGGAAGACCAGGUGCUGUAGGUG